CCUCCUUGACAUACCACCCUAAAUGCACCCAUCUCAUCUGAUUUCAGAAGCUACACACAGCUGGGCCUGGUUAGUACUUGGGUGAGGGACCAUUAGGGAUUCUUCUCGUAAAAUGAGGA
rnacentral:rRNA from 1 species